GAUGAACGCUGGCGGCGUGCCUAACACAUGCAAGUCGAGCGGUAUAUACCUUAUCAAAUCUUCGGAAGAGAGACGGUAUAGAGAGCGGCGGACGGGUGAGUAACGCGUAGGCAACCUGCCCCAUACAGAGGGAUAGCCUCGGGAAACCGGGAUUAAAACCUCAUAACGCCAAGAGUUCACAUGGACUUUUGGCCAAAGAUUUAUCGGUAUGGGAUGGGCCUGCGUCUGAUUAGCUAGUUGGUGGGGUAACGGCCUACCAAGGCAACGAUCAGUAGCCGACCUGAGAGGGUAAUCGGCCACAUUGGAACUGAGACACGGUCCAAACUCCUACGGGAGGCAGCAGUGGGGAAUAUUGCACAAUGGGCGAAAGCCUGAUGCAGCAACGCCGCGUGAGCGAUGAAGGCCUUUGGGUCGUAAAGCUCUGUCCUUGGGGAAGAAAAAAAUGACGGUACCCUUGGAGGAAGCCCCGGCUAACUACGUGCCAGCAGCCGCCGUAAGAC
rnacentral:rRNA from 1 species